CUAGCCGUAAACGAUGGAUACUAGGCGUUGUGAGUAUCGACCCUCACAGUGUCGUAGCUAACGCGUUAAGUAUCCCGCCUGGGGAGUACGCGCGCAAGCGUGAAACUCAAAGGAAUUGACGGGGGCCCGCACAAGCGGUGGAGUAUGCGGUUUAAUUCGAUGCAACGCGAAGAACCUUACCAGGACUUGACAUGUCGCGAAUCUCAGGGAAACUUGAGAGUGCCUUCGGGAGCGCGAACACAGGUGGUGC
rnacentral:rRNA from 1 species